rnacentral:rRNA from 1 species
AAUGCUUAGGAAUCUGCCUAUUAGUGGGGGACAACAUUCCGAAAGGAAUGCUAAUACCGCAUACGCCCUACGGGGGAAAGCAGGGGAUCUUCGGACCUUGCGCUAAUAGAUGAGCCUAAGUCAGAUUAGCUAGUUGGUGGGGUAAAGGCCUACCAAGGCGACGAUCUGUAGCGGGUCUGAGAGGAUGAUCCGCCACACUGGGACUGAGACACGGCCCAGACUCCUACGGGAGGCAGCAGUGGGGAAUAUUGGACAAUGGGCGCAAGCCUGAUCCAGCCAUGCCGCGUGUGUGAAGAAGGCCUUUUGGUUGUAAAGCACUUUAAGCGAGGAGGAGGCUACUUGGAUUAAUACUCUAGGAUAGUGGACGUUACUCGCAGAAUAAGCACCGGCUAACUCUGUGCCAGCAGCCGCGGUAAUACAGAGGGUGCGAGCGUUAAUCGGAUUUACUGGGCGUAAAGCGUGCGUAGGCGGCUUUUUAAGUCGGAUGUGAAAUCCCUGAGCUUAACCUAGGAAUUGCAUUCGAUACUGGGAAGCUAGAGUAUGGGAGAGGAUGGUAGAAUUCCAGGUGUAGCGGUGAAAUGCGUAGAGAUCUGGGGG